CAAGGCUGAGGCGUGAUGACGAGGCACUACGGUGCUGAAGCAACAAAUGCCCUGCUUCCAGGAAAAGCCUCUAAGCAUCAGGUAACAUCAAAUCGUACCCCAAACCGACACAGGUGGUCAGGUAGAGAAUACCAAGGCGCUUGAGAGAACUCGGGUGAAGGAACUAGGCAAAAUGGUGCCGUAACUUCGGGAGAAGGCACGCUGAUAUGUAGGUGAAGCGACUUGCUCGUGGAGCUGAAAUCAGUCGAAGAUACCAGCUGGCUGCAACUGUUUAUUAAAAACACAGCAC
rnacentral:rRNA from 1 species